AUGCAUUGUAUUGAUAUUAGCUCUCUGGAUAGAGUGAAGAGCUACUCUACAACAUAUCACUACAUACACAACAUAUCACAACAUACACAACAUAUCACUACAUACACAACAUAUCACUACAUACACAACAUAUCACUACAUACCCAACAUAUCACUACAUACACAACAUAUCACUACAUACACAACAUAUCCACAUAUCACUACAUACACAACAUAUCCCUACAUACCCAACAUAUCACUACAUACACAACAUAUCACUACAUACACAACAUAUCCCUGCAUACCCAACAUAUCACUACAUACACAACAUAUCACUACAUACACAACAUAUCACUACAUACACAACAUAUCACUACAUACACAACAUAUCACUACAUACACAACAUAUCGCUACAUACACAACAUAUCACUACAUACACAACAUAUCCACAUAUCACUACAUACACAACAUAUCCACAUAUCACUACAUACACAACAUAUCCACAUAUCACUACAUACACAACAUAUCACUACAUACACAGCAUAUCCACAUAUCACUACAUACACAACAUAUCUACAUAUCACUACAUACACAACAUAUCCACAUAUCACUACAUACACAACAUAUCCACAUAUCACUACAUACACAACAUAUCACUACAUACACAACAUAUCACUACAUACACAACAUAUUCACAUAUCACUACAUACACAACAUACACAACAUAUCCACAUAUCACUACAUACACAACAUAUCAACAUAUCACUACAUACACAACAUACACAACAUAUCCACAUAUCACUACAUACACAACAUAUCAACACAUCACUACAUACACAACAUAUCUACAUAUCACUACAUACACAACAUAUCAACACAUCACUACAUACACAACAUAUCUACAUAUCACUACAUACACAACACAUCACUACAUACACAACAUAUCCACAUAUCACUACAUACACAACAUAUCCACAUAUCACUACAUACACAACACAUCACUACAUACACAACAUAUCCACAUACCACUACAUACACAACAUAUCUACAUAUCACUACAUACACAACAUAUCCACAUAUCACUACAUACACAACGUAUCCACAUAUCACUACAUACACAACAUAUCAACAUAUCACUACAUACACAACACAUCACUACAUACACAACAUAUCACUACAUACACAACAUAUCCACAUAUCACUACAUACACAACAUAUCUACAUAUCACUACAUACACAACGUAUCCACAUAUCACUACAUACACAACAUAUCACUACAUACACAACAUAUCCACAUAUCACUACAUACACAACAUAUCACUACAUACACAACAUAUCACUACAUACACAACAUAUCACUACAUACACACCAUAUCACUACAUACACAACAUAUCACUACAUACACAACAUAUCUACAUAUCACUACAUACACAACGUAUCUACAUAUCACUACAUACACAACAUAUCCACAUAUCACUACAUACACAACAUAUCACUACAUACACAACAUAUCCACAUAUCACUACAUACACAACAUAUCUACAUAUCACUACAUACACAACAUAUCACUACAUACACAACAUAUCCACAUAUCACUACAUACACAACAUAUCCACAUAUCACUACAUACACAACAUAUCCACAUAGCACUACAUACACAACAUAUCCACAUAUCACUAAAUACACAACAUAUCCACAUAUCACUACAUACACAACAUAUCUACAUAUCACUACAUACACAACAUAUCACCACAUACACAACAUAUCUACAUAUCACUACAUACACAACAUAUCACUACAUACACAACAUAUCACUACAUACACAACAUAUCACUACAUACACAACAUAUCACUACAUACACAACAUAUCACUACAUACACAACAUAUCACUACAUACACAACAUAUCCACAUAUCACUACAUACACAACAUAUCCACAUAUCACUACAUACACAACAUAUCCACAUAUCACUACAUACACAACAUAUCCACAUAUCACUACAUACACAACAUAUCCACAUAUCACUACAUACACAACAUAUCCACAUAUCACUACAUACACAACAUAUCCACAUAUCACUACAUACACAACAUAUCUAGGUCAAAUGGGGGAGCGGCGUUGUGUCGUGACGUGUUGAUUUAUCUGGGGGGGGGGGGGGUUUAA
rnacentral:lncRNA from 1 species